UACGUAGGUGGCGAGCGUUAUCCGGAAUGAUUGGGCGUAAAGGGUGCGCAGGCGGUCUGUUAAGUCAGCGGUCAAAGCCCGGGGCUCAACCCCGGCCCGCCGUUGAAACUGACGGUCUUGAGUGGGCGAGAAGUAUGCGGAAUGCGUGGUGUAGCGGUGAAAUGCAUAGAUAUCACGCAGAACUCCGAUUGCGAAGGCAGCAUACCGGCGCCCAACUGACGCUGAAGCACGAAAGCGUGGGUAUCGAACAGG
rnacentral:rRNA from 1 species